rnacentral:rRNA from 1 species
AAGAACCUUACCUGGUCUUGACAUCCACAGAACUUUCCAGAGAUGGAUUGGUGCCUUCGGGAACUGUGAGACAGGUGCUGCAUGGCUGUCGUCAGCUCGUGUUGUGAAAUGUUGGGUUAAGUCCCGCAACGAGCGCAACCCUUAUCCUUUGUUGCCAGCGGUCCGGCCGGGAACUCAAAGGAGACUGCCAGUGAUAAACUGGAGGAAGGUGGGGAUGACGUCAAGUCAUCAUGGCCCUUACGACCAGGGCUACACACGUGCUACAAUGGCGCAUACAAAGAGAAGCGACCUCGCGAGAGCAAGCGGACCUCAUAAAGUGCGUCGUAGUCCGGAUUGGAGUCUGCAACUCGACUCCAUGAAGUCGGAAUCGCUAGUAAUCGUGGAUCAGAAUGCCACGGUGAAUACGUUCCCGGGCCUUGUACACACCGA